UACGGGGGGAGCAAGCGUUGUUCGGAUUUACUGGGCGUAAAGGGCGCGUAGGCGGCGUGACAAGUCACUUGUGAAAUCUCCGGGCUUAACUCGGAGCGGUCAAGUGAUACUGUCGUGCUAGAGUGCGGAAGGGGCUACUGGAAUUCGUCGGUGUAGCGGUGAAAUGCGCAGAUAGUCGGGAGGAACACCAAUGGCGAAGG
rnacentral:rRNA from 1 species